rnacentral:lncRNA from 1 species
UUUAAGUCAGGGGAGAUUGAGACACCUGUCUUAGAAAAUUCAUUGAAUAUUCUAAGAGCAAUAUUCUGGAACAGGUUCACCUCAAAAUAUCUUAUAUCUCAGUUUUGAGAGCAAGGAAAAUUACUAACUUCAAAGCUUGAAUGUACAUCAGCCAACAGAAGAGAAAAGAGACUCAUCUAUACCUCUGAGCUGUUACACAAACUUACCUCAAGUGACUCUCCUCUUGGAAAUGUAGACAUCCGUUUGUAAGAUGUGACAACUACUUUAUAAUGCAUAGCAGCUCUCUGCAACAGCUCAGUAAAAGACAGACCUCAAAACACCCGUUAACCAGAAAUGAGAUGAAGGCUGG